CUCAGCAUGACAUAGUGGUUUGAGUGCUGGACUGAGACUCUGGAGAUUAGGGUUUGAUUCCCUUUCUUGGGU